UUCCUCGUCAUCCUCACUCCCACAAGCAUAGACAAUUUCCUUGCUCAAAUGCUACCCUAAUCUAGAAGGCCUUAUGUCUUUCUCCCACAAUCCUUCUUUCUUUGCACAUCUCAGUACGCUUCCUCACUUUCUCUUCCCCUAUUAUUGCUCGACAGUUGAUAGAAAUAUAGAUUCAACUACUUUUGCUUGAUGCAGUAGUCGUGGGUUAUCGUCUUCAUCUCUAUUCCCCCCUCCCCCCCCACCGGAAAAAUGUAAUUCUACCUAAAAGGUAACUCUUUUCUUCUUUUAUGUAUUUAUUGGGCAUUUUGAAUUGAUUUCUUAAAAAAAAAAAAAGGCACAUUUCUGUUGGAUUGUGAGUCUAAGGCUUGGCUGCGGUGACAAUGGUGGCACUGGGCUUGGCUAUAGUUGGGGGGGUGGGGGUUUGGACUGUCUAUUCUUUUGCUUGGUUUUCUUGUGUCUACAUUUUUAAGUUGUGUAUAGGAACUAGGAAUAUUAAUGAUACAGGGCCCAAGGUUUUCUAUUUGUAUGAACUUGUAAUGUAAUAUGGGCUCCAAUUGGUUAGAUUGAUUUCUGCUUAAAAAUAUGUUACUCAUAUAAUAUAAGAAUUAGUUGUUCUCGAUAUUUCUGCUUAAUGGUAUGAACUUGAAGAGUAAUGUAGGUUGUUGACAGACAUGUUCUUGCAGAUCAAGCCAAUGCUAAGGAAUUGAAUGAUUUUUAAUGCGUUGGCUUUGAACUUCAAAGUGUUGUCAUCUCUAGUGGAGAGAGAAUUUCAGGUCCAUAGGUUUAUCCCUAUUUACAUAUGACGUUUAUUAAUAUGAAAUAGAAAGAGUGACCCUUCUGGAUUCUUGGUUAUGUGUUGUACUUCUGCAAUAUCAUCAUAUGCUAGUAAAAGAUCUGAACCAUCGCACCUUAUUAACACUUUUCUAAGCUCAUGGAACAAUAGCACAUUCCGAUAGUAUAGAGGACAACCCAUUUGCCUCUGACUCUGGGCAAUAGGCAUCUAAAAGGCAGCUAAAAUUUACUCCUUCAGUGACCAAAUGUUAUUAAACUUCUAAAUUGUCUAUGGAAGAUGAUAACACCUGAACUUUUGGACCUUAGUAUUUAAUUAUAUCAGGAAUUUUUCUCAUAUGAAGCAACUUGCAACGACAUACAAAAAUAGUUUCAAGAGAGACUCAUAGAAGCUUCUGGAACUCACUUUGGCGCCCUGAGGUACAACAUCCUUAAUACGAAUGAAUGUGGAACAUAGAACAAGAAACUUAGCUUCGAUAUAAAUGGAUGUAAUAUUCUCGUAGUUAGGAACUGUCUAUUUAUCGUUAAUCUGGCAAAAGUAUGCUAGUACAGUUUCUCCCUGCUUCAUAUUUAAUUUGAACUUCCGUCUUUAAGCAGAUGAGGUAGAUACUUCCGUUUUUAUUGAAAAUGGUGUGUAAAAAUUUAUUGACGUUUUGAAACAUUUGAGUUGAAAUAUUGUUUUGUACAUGUAUUAUGAAAUUAUGUUUCUUUAAAAUUAUUUUGAAUAACUAGUGGUUUAUUCCAAUGGCACUAAAGAAGAAGCCACCGCUCCUGGGCUGUAUGAUUAGUCCUAUCACGCAGCCGAUCACUGUACCUAGCACUCGGCUUGAACCCACAAUGUAGCUAGCAGUUGCCACCCAGCAUAAUCCACUACACUCACGGAGAUAGGUAAUUCUAUUUAUUUAGUUCUAAAUUCUAUUUUUUAUUUAUUAACAUCAUAUUCUUUUACACAUGUAGUGCCACCACUCAAACAUAGGCAUCGCGGUCAUACUCAUGGCAUAGGCACAUCCUAGAUAGUCAAGGCCACUUGUAGAAAGCUAGAAAUGAUUUAUGAAGACACUAUGGGCGACCUAAUGGUCCUAAUGCUAGUCGAUUUGUAUUUGAAAUAGGAGCUGGUGUCCAAAUAUUUGCACCUCUCCAAAAGGUCUUUUGGAAAGAUGUGACUGAAUUUGAAAAGCCCCCUAUUUAUGACAAAGUGGAGGUAACGUUAAAACAAAACUUCUUAAACUACAUUCAUAUGUUUAGGUUGCUUAUAAACUGAACUUCUUGAACUAUAUGAAAUCAAACCAAUUUGAAAUUAUUUCAUUUAAUUUAUAAGUUGCAUAUUGAAUAUGAUGGCAUAAGGUCGUUAUUUUGGUAACCUUUUUCUGUGCAUUUUAAAAUUUUGUCAACUAAACAGAAUAUAAAAAAAGUAACUUUUUUAAUGUGUACCAUUGAGAAAUGAUGUGUAGCAAGUCCAGUGUUGUUGAGAUUAUUCUGUAAUCUGGUUCUUAGUUUUGCAUGUUAACAGUCAGUCCACAAACAUAAACAACCAGUCCACAGAACACAUAAAAAAGAACAAGAAAAUUGUCCAGAUAUGUAUGUUACGUAAUAACUGUCAACUGAUGUCGUGACUUCACAAUAAAAUAGGCAUAUAAUACGCUGUUUCCAUGAUUUUUAUGUCAUACAUAAGUUUAUAAAUUAGUAAUUCCUUUGUGAUUCCUAAUUGGUUCUCCCGGUUUUUCUGUUUCAACUUUACUCACUUUAUUGUUUUUAACCAUGUAGAGCCUGAACGAAAUAUAAUAUUCUUCUUAUAUACCCUUGUUUUAACUCUGAAUCCUGUAAUGCAACAAUAAAUUUUCCAUGCAUGUCAGUUCUCUGCACUGCAAUUCUUUGAUCCUGAACAAUCCAAAUGCUUCUCGGCCUUUGCUUAAAUUAGGCACAUUACUAUUCUUUUUGCAUAGAACCCAUUUGAACCUGCCUCAAUGAUGAGUCGACUCUCUUUUUAUGUAUUAUUUCAAACACUUAUCAUAUCUCUUUUCACACUAUAUGUUGCUGUAUAUAGAUUAUUUUUGUCUUAUAUUAUGAUAAAUGUGCAACUCUUAAAGAGUUCAUGGAGAAAUCAACGGCCACUUCCUUUAAGGUGUUUCGGUAUGAGUUGCACACAGUGGUGGAUCCAGCAUUCGGUGAGCACCGGCGACCGUGCUUUCUAAUCCGUUGGGAACAAAAUUUUUUGUUAAAUAUAGAUAAAAUUUUUUGGUUAUAUAUCAAGUAAUUCAUUUUAUUAGAAGUCAUUGGAUCGUGUCUCUUCCAAAAAAAAUUAUUUGCAAGUUUUCUAGUUCUACAAUUUUUAACAAAAUUAAUGCGAUCGGGAGGGGAUUCAAACCUUUGAACCCUCUUUAAAAUUAUUGAAAGCUUGACCAUUAUGGCACUCAUUGAAUUUUAAUACUAAAUGUAACAAAAUAAUAUAUGUUUCAAGUUUAGUGGUUUUAAUGCCAUUAGAAAGAUUCGAACCAGUGCUCUUCAUUUGAAUUAUACAAAAUUUGGCCACUAUAUCAAGUGGUGAAUAUUAUUAAUAUAUAUGACAUAAUUAAUAUAUAUUCAAUUUUAGCAAAAUAACUGUUAUAUUUAAUUUUUAAUAUUUUAUUGCGGCCAACGAUCAACGGUCAACGGCCACCCGUGCUCACUCAAAAUCUUGCAUCCGCCACUGGCUGUACAUGCAUUAAAAUGAGUAUUUAGACCAACCAAUGGCUCACGGGAAAGCAAAUAAGCCUAAAGAAGUUCGUGACCAGGCUGAUUGGGAUUGUUUGUGUGACUAUUAGGAAAGUGAAUAGUUUUAGGUGCAUUUAUGUACAUUUUCACUUGCAUUUAUGUUCUUUUGUUACCUUAUUUAGGCUAUUGACUAUUUUCAAUUUUAUUUAACUGUACAUCACAGGAAAGAUCCAAGGUUGCAGUUGAAAAUAGAUCGCAAUGAGAGUUUACCUAUUUUUUUGGUUCUAGAUUCUUUAUUCGAUAUCAAGCUAUAGAGGUAUAUAAGAAGUUAAAAAUAUCCAUUUAUGUUGGGAAAUAAUUUCAAUUCAAUUAAAUCUUAUUCUUCUUAUAAUAGGAUAAUAGAAUUGGACGACCAAACAUAAUUCAAUUAUGGAAAAACACACAUUAUGAGGAUAUUAAAUGCUAGAUCCAUCCGUGUGGUUGAGAAAUAUGUAAUGAACAAAUAUUUAUGUAUUUACUUUAACUUUAUUAUUACUAGAAUAAAUAUUUUACCGUCAUAUUUGUAUUAAUAAUUUUCUAUUGUCAUGCAGAAGGAGAUAAUAGACAUACAAAUCACAUAAGAGGCACAUGUUGAGGAAGGAGAGUGAGAGUCAAGGAGUAUAGCUCACUGCUGAUGAAAUCGCGACUCAAGUCCUUGGCACUAUUUCUUGCUACUUUAGGGGAUUGGGUAGGGGCCCAAAGAUUCCACGUGCUACAUCUCGCAUGAACACAACACAACAAGAGAAUGCUAAACUUCGCCAAGUCAUGCAUAACUUGUAGAGCUGGAAUGAGCGUAUCCUUGCCUUUUGAGAGGAGAUAAUGACAGGUGUUACUGCAAGAAUCCUUGGCACUAUUUCUUGCUACUAUAGGGGAUUGGGUAGGGGCCCAAAGAUUCCACGUGCUACAUCUAGCACGAACACAACACAACAAGAGAAUGCUAAACUUCGCCAAGCCAUGCAUAACUUGUAGAGCUGGAAUGAGCGUAUUCUCGCCUUUUGAGAGGAGAUAAUGCCAGAUGUUAUUGCUAGAAUCCUUGGCACUAUUUCUUGCUACUAUAGGGGAUUGGGUAGGGGCCCAAAGAUUCCACGUGCUACAUCUCGCACGAACACAAUAAGAGAAUGCUAAACUUCGCCAAGUCAUGCAUAACUUGUAGAGCUGGAAUGAGCGUAGUCUCGCCUUUUGAGAGGAGAUAAUGCCAGGUGUUACUGCAAGAAUAUCAGCCCAAGAGUGCCCACUACUCAUCCAUCAACAUCACUUGAUCAUGAGUCACAUGAUGAUCAUUAAUUUAAAGUUCUUCAUCGCAUUUACAUGUUUUUAAAUCUUCAUGGUUGAUACUCUAUUAUUGCAUAUGCUACUAUUUUUUACUACACUGGUCUUCUCAUUUUUGGAUCUUGACUAGGUCUUUUAUUGCCUAUGCUAUUAUUUUGGACUACACCUGCAAAUAUAGUUACUCAUAUUUUGGAAUUAGAAGUGAAUUAUAAAGGUACAAUAUAUUAUUUUACCUUGUACAGAUGGUUUGUUGGCUUUUGAAUUAUGACUAUUGUGUUGUGAUUUAUGAUAUAUUUUGAUUUUGAUUUUUGUUGGUGCAUUGUGUUGUAGAUAGGCUUUCAAUUUUUUGAAAUUUUG
rnacentral:lncRNA from 1 species